UUAAGUUAGAAAGGGCGCACGGUGGAUGCCUUGACACUAGGAGUCGAUGAAGGACGGGACUAACGCCGAUAUGCUUCGGGGAGCUGUAAGUAAGCUUUGAUCCGAAGAUUUCCGAAUGGGGAAACCCACCAUACGUAAUGGUAUGGUAUCCUUAUCUGAAUACAUAGGGUAAGGAAGACAGACCCAGGGAACUGAAACAUCUAAGUACCUGGAGGAAGAGAAAGCAAAUGCGAUUUCCUGAGUAGCGGCGAGCGAAACGGAACAUAGCCCAAACCAAGAGGCUUGCCUCUUGGGGUUGUAGGACAUUCUAUACGGAGUUACAAAGGAACGAGGUAGACGAAGCGACCUGGAAAGGUCCGUCGUAGAGGGUAACAACCCCGUAGUCGAAACUUCGUUCUCUCUUGAAUGUAUCCUGAGUACGGCGGAACACGUGAAAUUCCGUCGGAAUCUGGGAGGACCAUCUCCCAAGGCUAAAUACUCCCUAGUGAUCGAUAGUGAACCAGUACCGUGAGGGAAAGGUGAAAAGCACCCCGGAAGGGGAGUGAAAGAGAUCCUGAAACCGUGUGCCUACAAAUAGUCAGAGCCCGUUAACGGGUGAUGGCGUGCCUUUUGUAGAAUGAACCGGCGAGUUACGAUCCCGUGCGAGGUUAAGCUGAAGAGGCGGAGCCGCAGCGAAAACGAGUCUGAAUAGGGCGUUUAGUACGUGGUCGUAGACCCGAAACCAGGUGAUCUACCCAUGUCCAGGGUGAAGUUCAGGUAACACUGAAUGGAGGCCCGAACCCACGCACGUUGAAAAGUGCGGGGAUGAGGUGUGGGUAGCGGAGAAAUUCCAAUCGAACCUGGAGAUAGCUGGUUCUCCCCGAAAUAGCUUUAGGGCUAGCCUUAAGUGUAAGAGUCUUGGAGGUAGAGCACUGAUUGGACUAGGGGUCCUCAUCGGAUUACCGAAUUCAGUCAAACUCCGAAUGCCAAUGACUUAUCCUUAGGAGUCAGACUGCGAGUGAUAAGAUCCGUAGUCAAAAGGGAAACAGCCCAGACCGCCAGCUAAGGUCCCAAAGUGUGUAUUAAGUGGAAAAGGAUGUGGAGUUGCUUAGACAACUAGGAUGUUGGCUUAGAAGCAGCCGCCAUUUAAAGAGUGCGUAAUAGCUCACUAGUCGAGUGACUCUGCGCCGAAAAUGUACCGGGGCUAAAUACACCACCGAAGCUGCGGAUUGAUACCAAUGGUAUCAGUGGUAGGGGAGCGUUCUAAGGACAGUGAAGUCAGACCGGAAGGACUGGUGGAGUGCUUAGAAGUGAGAAUGCCGGUAUGAGUAGCGAAAGACGGGUGAGAAUCCCGUCCACCGAAUGCCUAAGGUUUCCUGAGGAAGGCUCGUCCGCUCAGGGUUAGUCAGGACCUAAGCCGAGGCCGACAGGCGUAGGCGAUGGACAACAGGUUGAUAUUCCUGUACCACCUCUUUAUCGUUUGAGCAAUGGAGGGACGCAGAAGGAUAGAAGAAGCGUGCGAUUGGUUGUGCACGUCCAAGCAGUUAGGCUGAUAAGUAGGCAAAUCCGCUUAUCGUGAAGGCUGAGCUGUGAUGGGGAAGCUCCUUAUGGAGCGAAGUCUUUGAUUCCCCGCUGCCAAGAAAAGCUUCUAGCGAGAUAAAAGGUGCCUGUACCGCAAACCGACACAGGUAGGCGAGGAGAGAAUCCUAAGGUGUGCGAGAGAACUCUGGUUAAGGAACUCGGCAAAAUGACCCCGUAACUUCGGGAGAAGGGGUGCUUUCUUAACGGAAAGCCGCAGUGAAUAGGCCCAAGCGACUGUUUAGCAAAAACACAGCUCUCUGCGAAGCCGUAAGGCGAAGUAUAGGGGGUGACACCUGCCCGGUGCUGGAAGGUUAAGGAGAGGGGUUAGCGUAAGCGAAGCUCUGAACUGAAGCCCCAGUAAACGGCGGCCGUAACUAUAACGGUCCUAAGGUAGCGAAAUUCCUUGUCGGGUAAGUUCCGACCCGCACGAAAGGUGUAACGAUUUGGGCACUGUCUCAACCAGAGACUCGGUGAAAUUAUAGUACCUGUGAAGAUGCAGGUUACCCGCGACAGGACGGAAAGACCCCGUGGAGCUUUACUGUAGCCUGAUAUUGAAUUUUGGUACAGUUUGUACAGGAUAGGCGGGAGCCUUUGAAACCGGAGCGCUAGCUUCGGUGGAGGCGCUGGUGGGAUACCGCCCUGACUGUAUUGAAAUUCUAACCUACGGGUCUUAUCGACCCGGGAGACAGUGUCAGGUGGGCAGUUUGACUGGGGCGGUCGCCUCCUAAAGUGUAACGGAGGCGCCCAAAGGUUCCCUCAGAAUGGUUGGAAAUCAUUCGUAGAGUGCAAAGGCAUAAGGGAGCUUGACUGCGAGACCUACAAGUCGAGCAGGGACGAAAGUCGGGCUUAGUGAUCCGGUGGUUCCGCAUGGAAGGGCCAUCGCUCAACGGAUAAAAGCUACCCCGGGGAUAACAGGCUUAUCUCCCCCAAGAGUCCACAUCGACGGGGAGGUUUGGCACCUCGAUGUCGGCUCAUCGCAUCCUGGGGCUGUAGUCGGUCCCAAGGGUUGGGCUGUUCGCCCAUUAAAGCGGUACGCGAGCUGGGUUCAGAACGUCGUGAGACAGUUCGGUCCCUAUCCGUCGUGGGCGUAGGAAAUUUGAGAGGAGCUGUCCUUAGUACGAGAGGACCGGGAUGGACGCACCGCUGGUGUACCAGUUGUUCUGCCAAGGGCAUAGCUGGGUAGCUAUGUGCGGAAGGGAUAAGUGCUGAAAGCAUCUAAGCAUGAAGCCCCCCUCAAGAUGAGAUUUCCCAUAGCGUAAGCUAGUAAGAUCCCUGAAAGAUGAUCAGGUUGAUAGGUUCGAGGUGGAAGCAUGGUGACAUGUGGAGCUGACGAAUACUAAUAGAUCGAGGACUUAACCAU
rnacentral:rRNA from 1 species